UUCGUGGUUUUAAUGUUUUCAUUCACAUUUUUUUAAAUUGUUUUGUUGUAUACUAAAAUGGAACUAUAUAUGGAAUGAUCAAUGUAUUUUGUUCAAUUGCAGGUGCUGGGAUCGUGUAUACCAGAUGCGGUUGGUCCGGUCGUCAUAGCGACUGAGUUGGGCGAACCGCUUGACUCGGUGCACUUGCUACAAUUGACUUGGCAGGAACGGAUAAAGGUAUAAAUUAAACCGAAAUAAACCAACGUCUCAUUCCGGAAUAAGGCGACGUCUUGGGGAAAUAUCGUGAAAAUUGGUUUCAAUCGACGAAGGGGAAAAUGGAAUCUUGCCAGCCACCGCAGAUUUCAAUUUAGCUAAUUGUCAGCUUGAGGAAUCUAUCAGAAUCUCGAGGAAACACUUAACAAAUUAGUCGGCCACUCUGUCGGUUCGACUAGCUCUGAAAGACUGUGCAAGCAGACGGAGGACUGAAACGUCAGCAGGCAUUCGUCUAAACAGAAGAUUCAGGAAGCAACUCGAUUACUCCACUUGUCUUUCCGCACUCAAUUGCCAGGAACGCCUGAUCCCGUAAUUCAAUCACUGUCAGUAUAGUCGACUGGCAAUUCCAACGAGCCUGGAGAAGACUCAGGUCAAGUUUCACCUGAGACCAAGUGUUUCUUGCCUAUCUCUUGAAAAUUUGCAUUGUUGCAACACGUCAUUCGUUAAAGGUCGAUCAAUAAA